rnacentral:rRNA from 1 species
UACGAAGGGGGCUAGCGUUGUUCGGAAUUACUGGGCGUAAAGCGCGCGCAGGCGGUUCGAUAAGUUGGGGGUGAAAUCCCCGGGCUCAACCCGGGAAUGGCCUUCAAGACUGUCGAUCUAGAGGACGAGAGAGGUGAGUGGAAUUCCCAGUGUAGAGGUGAAAUUCGUAGAUAUUGGGAAGAACACCGGUGGCGAAGGCGGCUCACUGGCUCGUUUCUGACGCUGAGGCGCGAAAGCGUGGGGAGCAAACAGGG